rnacentral:tRNA from 1 species
GCGCGGGUGGCGAAAUUGGUAGACGCGCAUGCUUGAGGGGCAUGUGACCCCGGUCAUGGAGGUUCAAGUCCUCUCCCGCGCA